rnacentral:rRNA from 1 species
CCUACGGGGAGCAGCAGUGAGGAAUAUUGGUCAAUGGACGCAAGUCUGAACCAGCCAUGCCGCGUGCAGGAAGACUGCCCUACGGGUUGUAAACUUCUUUUCUCAGGGACGAAGCAAGUGACGGUACCUGAGGAAUAAGCCACGGCUAACUACGUGCCAGCAGCCGCGGUAAUACGUAGGUGGCAAGCGUUAUCCGGAUUUACUGGGUGUAAAGGGCGUGUAGGCGGGAAAGCAAGUCAGAUGUGAAAACCAUGGGCUCAACCUGUGGCCUGCAUUUGAAACUGUUUUUCUUGAGUACUGGAGAGGCAGACGGAAUUCCUAGUGUAGCGGUGAAAUGCGUAGAUAUUAGGAGGAACACCAGUGGCGAAGGCGGUCUGCUGGACAGCAACUGACGCUGAGGCGCGAAAGCGUGGGGAGCAAACAGGAUUAGAUACCCGUGUAGUC